rnacentral:lncRNA from 1 species
UAACAAUGCUCCAACUAUCAAGUCGAUAAAUCUCCAACAAACUCCCAAAACUUCGGAGCAUACGCAAGUGGUUUUGCGCAAGGGUAAGCAAGUAGCUCUUUGUACAUUGUUCUAAGAAGUUGUAGCAGCAAACUGCUCUCCGAGUAAUUUGUCCGUUUCUGUCGCUACAUUUCGGUCGUGAAGGUGCCGCAAGUGCAUAAAUGCUCUCCGUUUAGUAGUCGCUGAUGACGCGUUUCAUGUAACUUGGAUUCGAUACUCCAGAUGGACCAUACACUUGGCUUGGCCUGUAUGACAAACCGACGUCCUCAUACAAUGAUCUGCUGGCUCGUUCAGGAUGCGGAGUCCCAUAAGAAGAAGGUUCGAAAUGCUUGAAGUAAGCGGGGGCACCAUGGCUCUCGUAGUGGGGUGCUC